CCUACGGGGGGCAGCAGUCGAGAAUCAUUCACAAUGGGGGAAACCCUGAUGGGGCGACGCCGCGUGGGGGAAUGAAGGUCUUCGGAUUGUAAACCCCUGUCAUGUGGGAGCAAAUUAAAAAGAUAGUACCACAAGAGGAAGAGACGGCUAACGCUGUGCCAGCAGCCGCGGUAAUACAGAGGUCUCAAGCGUUGUUCGGAAUCACUGGGCGGAAAGCGUGCGUAGGCUGUUUCGUAAGUCGGGUGUGAAAGGCGCGGGCUCAACCCGCGGACGGCACAUGAUACUGCGAGACUAGAGUAAUGGAGGGGGAACCGGAAUUCUCGGUGUAGCAGUGAAAUGCGUAGAUAUCGAGAGGAACACUCGUGGCGAAGGCGGGUUCCUGGACAUUAACUGACGCUGAGGCACGAAGGCCAGGGGAGCGAAAGGGAUUAGAUACCCUUGUAGUC
rnacentral:rRNA from 1 species